AGAGCGAACGCUGGCGGCAGGCCUAACACAUGCAAGUCGAACGGACCCUUCGGGGUUAGUGGCGGACGGGUGAGUAACACGUGGGAACGUGCCUUUUGGUUCGGAAUAGCUCCUGGAAACGGGUGGUAAUGCCGAAUGUGCCCUUCGGGGGAAAGAUUUAUCGCCAUUAGAGCGGCCCGCGUCUGAUUAGCUAGUUGGUGAGGUAAUGGCUCACCAAGGCGACGAUCAGUAGCUGGUCUGAGAGGAUGACCAGCCACAUUGGGACUGAGACACGGCCCAAACUCCUACGGGAGCAGCAGUGGGAAUCUUGCGCAAUGGGCGAAAGCCUGACGCAGCCAUGCCGCGUGAAUGAUGAAGGUCUUAGGAUUGUAAAAUUCUUUCACCGGGACGAUAAUGACGGUACCCGGAGAAGACGCCCGCUAACGUUCGUGCCAGCAGCCGC
rnacentral:rRNA from 1 species